UUGUGUCUGUCUGAUUUUUCAGACCAUCUUUAUUCCAUCUUCUCUCUUUCCCUGCAUAGUCUUUUCUGCAGGACAAAGCUAUAAUAUCCUCCAAGCAAAGAUUUUAAGAUAGUUGUUCCAGGCAUGAAACAAUGAAGCAGCAGGGGAGUAAGAGUGGAGGUAAUACUCUUAAUUUGGGCUUUCGCUGACUCCCUCUCCAGCUCUCUCAUUAAAGUUGCCUAGGACAAAGUACCUAGGCGAGAGACUCUAUAGUGGACCCUUCAGAGCAAGCAGAUCUCCUGGACUUUUGAUUAUCUUUGGCAUGAAAAAUACAACAGCAGAGGAAACACAUCAGCACAAAAGCCUGCAGUCCGGCAGCUACAUUUUCUCUGUGGCAGCAGAUUCUCAGUGUCUUCCAAGAAGGCGCAACAUGCUGCAUGCCCAGUGAGUUGGAUUUAGUAGCAAAAGAGGUCGGAGUUCUCCGGAAUGACAAAGAGACCAGAGCAUGUCCCACUGGAUUCAAGUGCAGAUACAUAGCUGUAGACUGAUCGAGCACCGAACCUAUGCUUUUGCCUUUGCUCCUCUCUGUGUAGCGAUGCCUGUCAACAUCCACCAGAGAGCAGAGCAGCUCUGAAGACCCGGACCUUUUAUGCUUUGGAAAUCAAUGGAGACAGCUACACAGCCAGUUCUCGGCCAAACAACAUGGAUUGCAGUUCAUUUCAAAGGAGCCUUUGGACACCAAGGAAGAAAGAAGUGGAACAUGACUACUUCUGAAAGGUGAAAUGGGUGGUAUAUCAGACAGCUUAUUAAAGAGACAAGCUUGCUGCUUUCCCAAAGUGAGAUGACAGAACCAGUCAUGAUCUUGUAUGGAAGGAAAAUGAGAUCCCUAGUGAAGUCUACAGUGUGAUUGACUCUGAAGAAAGACUCUGAGACCCAUUGGUGCUUAAUGACCCUUAUUGGCCUGUUCAAUGGGAACUGGCACACACACAAGUGAACUCCCAAGAUAUGACAAGAUCCCAAUUCAAUGACAAACCAUUAAGAAAGGAAAUGAAAGUUCAGAAGAUUUGGAGGAAUUCUAUGAUUCUGUUGUGAAAAAGAAAAAGCCAAGGAAAGAAAAUAUAAUAUAUUUUCAUUGGGCAAUUAAGAAUUAAUGUGGUACAUUAGCCACAGACAAAAAGGGAGAUUUGUGGAAACAAGGCCGAAAAACGGGGUGAGAGGAAUAGAAUGGGGUAUCCUGAAAGAAGAACAUGGAACAGGUGAAGACUAUGCUGCACCAUUUUGUUGUAGCGCUCCUUGUACCAUUAAAACACUGAUGCAGAAGAUGAAUAUGGUAGCAAAAAUAGCAUAAACUCAUAACUUUAUUGACGAUGCUGGUCAUCCUGUAUACACCCCUGAAACUGUUGUUCCAUUUGUAAUUAUGUCAGUUUUGGGGAUGAUAAAGGUUUUCAAAAUACUGGCACCAUUGUGCAUUCUUGCAUGGUUCCCAACAUUUUCCUGGCUUAUAUAAAAUAAUGUUUUUAUCCCAGUUCCUGUUCUCAAAAGCCCUCCUGAUGGUAUAUUUAUUAUCUGACUCAAAAAAGAGGCUUUUUGAGAAUUCCACGUGGUCUUCACUAACUUUCAUCCUACCAUCAGCUUUAUUCUAGACCACAGCAUGACCUCUUUCUAGACACUACUGCAUAGUUAAUAAUGGAGAUAUGACCACAACCUUAGUGCAGAUAGUUCGGACGCUAAAAUUAGUUCAGAGGACGGCAGAUAGGUCGUUAACUGGGGUGCUGUAUUGUGAGAGGACAACUCCCAUGUUGUGACAACUUCACUGGCUGCUGGUCUGCUUCUGAGCUAAAUACAUACAAAGUGCUGGUCAUUACCUAUAAAGCCCUAAAUGGUUCAGGUCCAGGCUAUUUGUCUAAUUGCAUCUCUCUAUUCAGACCAUCCCAGGCACUGCGGUCUGCGGAGGAGGCCCUGCUCUCAAUCCCACCCCCGUCACUAGCGCGGCUGGUGGGAAUGAGAGAAGGGUCUUCUCCAUGAUCACUUCCCACCUCUCGAACUCGCUACUGAAAUAAAUAAAAACGGCUCCCACCUUCCUCUCUUUUAAAAAGCUACUAAAAUCACACCUUUACACUUUGGCAUACAGGGAGGAGGAUGAUUAGAGCAUUUUAGUAAUGCCAUUGAAAAGCAGGUUGUCCUAUCUGUACUUCAUGGUCAUUAUGAUACAGUUAAGAACAACUACCAGCCAAAUGCUUACCCAAUUUUAAUUGUGCUAUGUUAGAUGUUUUAUUGUUGACCAUGCUUUUAAAUGUACUUGUUUAGUGAUUAGUUGUUCUAUGUUUUUAUUUUGAUAUUUAAUUUCAUUUGAUUAGUACAAUGCUGUUAUUACUCCAUAUUGUGUUUAUUGCUGUAAUGUUUUGGUAUAUGCCAGGCAUUGAAUAUAUUAUUAUUAUUAUUAU